UACGAAGGGGGCUAGCGUUGCUCGGAAUUAUUGGGCGUAAAGAGCUUGUAGGCGGUUUGUCGCGUCUGCUGUGAAAAUCCGGGGCUCAACCCCGGACUUGCAGUGGGUACGGGCAGGCUGGAGGCAGGCAGGGGAGAACGGAAUUCCCGGUGUAGCGGUGAAAUGCUUAGAUAUCGUCAAGAACACCGAUUGCGAAGGCAGCUAACUAAGCUUUAACUGACGCUGAGGCACGAAAGUGUGGGGAUCAAACAGG
rnacentral:rRNA from 1 species